rnacentral:rRNA from 1 species
UACGAAGGGUGCAAGCGUUAUUCGGAAUCAUUGGGCGUAAAGCGCGCGCAGGCGGAUCAGCAAGUCAGGUGUGAAAUCUCGAAGCUCAGCUUCGAAACUGCGCCUGAAACUGCUAGUCUAGAGUGUCGGAGGGGGUAGGGGAAUUUCACGUGUAGGGGUAAAAUCCGUAGAGAUGUGAAGGAACACCGGAGGCGAAGGCGCCUACCUGGACGACUACUGACGCUGAGGCGCGAAAGCGUGGGGAGCAAACAGG